rnacentral:rRNA from 1 species
ACCUCAAAUCAGGUAGGACUACCCGCUGAACUUAAGCAUAUCAAUAAGCGGAGGAAAAGAAACUAACAAGGAUUCCCCUAGUAACUGCGAGUGAAGCGGGAAGAGCUCAAAUUUUGAAUCUGGCAGUCCUUGGCUGUCCGAGUUGUAAUCUAGAGAAGUGUUUUCYGCGCUGGACCGUGUAUAAGUCUCCUGGAAGGGAGCGUCAUAGAGGGUGAGAAUCCCGUCUUUGACAYGGACUACCAGUGCUAUGUGAUGCGCUCUCGACGAGUCGAGUUGUUUGGGAAUGCAGCUCAAAAYGGGUGGUAAACUCCAUCUAAAGCUAAAUACAGGCGAGAGACCGAUAGCGAACAAGUACCGUGAGGGAAAGAUGAAAAGAACUUUGGAAAGAGAGUUAAACAGUACGUGAAAUUGCUGAAAGGGAAACGCUUGAUGUCAGUCACGUUGGCUGGGGAUCAACCUUGCUUCUCGCUGGGUGUACUUCCCGGUCGACGGGUCAGCAUCAGUUUCAGUCGCUGUACAAGGGUGAGGGGAACGUGGCACUCCUCGGAGUGUGUUAUAGCCUUUCAUCGUAUGCAGUGGUCGGGACUGAGGAGCUCAGCACGGCUUCUUGCUUGUGCUCAGGAUGCUGGCAUAAUGGCCUUAAGCGACCCGU